rnacentral:rRNA from 1 species
CCUACGGGAGGCAGCAGUGGGGAAUAUUGGGCAAUGGGCGCAAGCCUGACCCAGCAACGCCGCGUGACGGAAGAAGGCUUUCGGGUUGUAAACUUCUUUUCUCAGGGACGAAGCAAGUGACGGUACCUGAGGAAUAAGCCACGGCUAACUACGUGCCAGCAGCCGCGGUAAUACGUAGGUGGCAAGCGUUCUCCGGAUUUACUGGGUGUAAAGGGCGUGUAGGCGGGACUGCAAGUCAGAUGUGAAAACCACGGGCUCAACCUGUGGCCUGCAUUUGAAACUGUAGUUCUUGAGUGCUGGAGAGGCAGACGGAAUUCCAAGUGUAGCGGUGAAAUGCGUAGAUAUUAGGAGGAACACCAGUGGCGAAGGCGGUCUGUUGGACAGCAACUGACGCUGAGGCGCGAAAGCGUGGGGAGCAAACAGGAUUAGAUACCCUGGUAGUC